rnacentral:rRNA from 1 species
ACCUACGGGAGGCAGCAGUGGGGAAUAUUGGGCAAUGGGCGCAAGCCUGACCCAGCAACGCCGCGUGAAGGAAGAAGGCCCUCGGGUUGUAAACUUCUUUUAUCAAGGACGAAACAAAUGACGGUACUUGAUGAAUAAGCCACGGCUAACUAUGUGCCAGCAGCCGCGGUAAUACAUAGGGAGCAAGCGUUAUCCGGAUUUAUUGGGUGUAAAGGGUGCGUAGACGGGAAAUUAAGUUAGUUGUGAAAUCCCUCGGCUUAACUGAGGAACUGCAACUAAAACUGAUUUUCUUGAGUACUGGAGAG